ACGAAUCUUUUUUAGUUACAUAUCAAUUUUAUAUUUUUGAUUAAUUAGUUUUGAUCAAAUACUUUUCUGAAAAGCGGAAUUUGGUAGCGCGAGCUUUCUUCGACACUCAGCAAAACGGAAACUCGAAAUGAGAAGAGACAGUAGAGAUAUUUCGGAGAAAGUAGGUCUCAUGAUUUAUUUGGGUAGAGACCAAAAAUCUUGUUUGCUUCUCGCCUACUUUUACAAGAUCCAGAGAUGAAAAAUAGGAGGAGGAAGGAUCAAGAUUGAACGAGGAGAAAAAUACAACGCGGAUUGAAUUAAAUAAGUAAAUUAAUUUAAUCACAUAUAAUUACAAUCACACAUAUUUGCGAUACAUAUACC